UAGGAGUAGUUAAUGCUAGUCAUAUGAGUAGAAGUACUAGUGUAUGUUUAAUCUAAGACAACGGACGAAUGACGAGACAUCAUUUCCCACAGAGGGGGAGUGUGUGACAGGGUGAUAAUUUAGGGUUCUGAUACCAUCAGUUGUGUGAGACCUCUCAGUUGCUGUUAUGUGAGACCUCCAUUCCAUUUUUUACCUUUGACAUUGUUGACCUUAUUUGAACUCUAUUUUUACUGGUCCUCGUGAUCAGCUGUCUCGGGGAAGAGCGCCGUUUUCAGUUUGAUAAAGCAGACAUGUUGGUUACUCUGUCGAGUUCUUAAAAAAGUAACUUAAAUAAUGGAAUUAUUUAAUAGUUUAAUACAGUAAAGCACUCACGGGAGACAGGCGAAUAUGUGUUGUGUAAGGUAGCUAGUGUGAUCAAGUCCAUAAUUUGGUCACCGUGUUUCGAUCACAGUUUUGACUAGGAAAAUGUCAUUUACAAUAUAACAGACUGUUUAGUGUCUAAGACAAUAUAAAGAUGUGAUACAAAAUGUGAUACAAUUUAUAAAUAACAAGAAACGCGGCAAUGCCACGAAACCAGGUUUUCAACAAUUUUCAUAAGAAUAAACAAGAGUGCCAGAAUGUCACAAUAUACGCCCGUCACAGCAAAUUUUUUUGCUCUAGCACCUGUAUUUGCAGAUGUAAUUUUAAUUUUGUGGUUGUUUAGUAAUCAUUGUAAUUCUUUUGUUUUUCUAAGUCCACAAAAAAACUCCUUACCAGGUAGAGAUACCUUAAAAUACACCUAAAAUUAGAAAGUAACAACUAUGUUGUACCACAGAAAAGUGGUCUUGGUUUUUCCCUACGGUCAGUUAUAAAAAAGUUACAAUAUAAGUAAUUUAUAGUAACAACUAAGGGAAGUUAAUCUUAAAAAAAAAAAAAAAAUACAAAAAAAAAAAUUGUAAGUCCACACAGAAAUCCUUACCAGGUAGAGAUUGGUCAAAAUACACCUCAAAAUUGGAUGUAACAUGCAUGUUGUACUACAGAAAAGUGGUCUCGAUUUUUCCCUACGUCUAGUAAUGAAAAAGUUACAAUAUAAGCUAUUUAUAGUAACAACAAAGGGAAGUAAUUCUAAAGAAGGGAACUGCGCAAGACACUUCGUCUCAUGAUGGUGUAUAAUUGUGCCAAGUUACAUCAAAAUCCCUCUAUGCAUGAAGAAGAUAUGCUCCGGACAAAGUUUUCAUUCUUGUAUCCUUUGACCUCUAAGUGUGACCUUGACCUAAGACCUAGGGACCUGGUUCUUGGGCAUGACACUCCGUCUCAUGAUGAUGAACAAUUGUGCCAACUUUCAUCAAAAUCCCUCCAUGCAUGUAGAAGAUAUGCUAACCCUAACCCUAACCUAACCAUAACCCUAUUUUUAGUAACAAUGACCUUGACCUUGAUCCCAGAAACCCCAAAAUCAAUCCAUAGCUACAACUUUAUAUAAGUUUUCUAUACACCAAGUUUCAUCACGAUAGCUCAUUCCUAAGUUAAGUUAUUGACCGGAAACCCUUUUUCUAUUUUAAGUAACAGUGACCUUGACCCCAGAAACCCCAAAAUCAGUCCCAGCCUUUGUCUUGAUAUAAGCUACAUACAUACCAAGUUUUAUUCAAAUAUCUUUACCGAAACAAAAGUUAUUGACUGGAAACCCUUUUUCUAUUUUAAGUAACAGUGACCUUGACCUUGACCCCAGAAACCCCAAAAUCAAUCCCAGCCUUUGUCUUGAUAUAAGCUACAUACGUACCAAGUUUUAUUCAAAUAUCUUUACCGAAACAAAAGUUAUUGACCGGAAACCCUUUUUCUAUUUUAAGUAACAGUGACCUUGACCUUGACCCCAGAAACCCCAAAAUCAAUCCCAGCCUUUGUCUUGAUAUAAGCUACAUACAUACCAAGUUUAUUCAAAUAUCUUUACCGAAACAAAAGUUAUUGACCGGAAACACCAGUUUGACGCCUCCACCGCCGCCCGCCCGCCCGCCCGACAUCUUGAAAACCUGGUUAAUAAAAAGGACAUUUCAAACCAUGCAAACAACAUUGGUUAUUCUUUUAUAAAGUAGUUAACUCGAACUACCAUAUAGAAAAUAAGCCAUAGUUACAAUAGUAUUGAAAGUACAAAGCCUGUAUGAGGUAAAAAUCUACAUGGGGGCACUAUGCUAGUUUAAAAUACAUUUUAAAGUGUAUUUAUUUAAUGGUACUGAAAAUUACAAAACCAGAUACGUUACUAUCAAGAUCUUUUUAAUAUAGGACAUUGUUCUGAGUAUUAUUAUUAUUAUUAUACCAGAUUUAUAGUAUCAUCUAUAAAUGAAAUAAAACAUUUUAUUUGUCAUAUUCAGAUUUCUUAAUUAAACUAAACUGUGUAUGCAUAUCUUACUUUUUUCAUUUCCAGCUAAGCUUAUGUUUACUAAGCUCUCAGGUUAAAGGAAGAAAUAAAAUUGAAGCCUACAGCAGGUCAAAUAAGUUUGACAGCCUGACAUUUAAUAUAGUAUCCUAAACACAAGUAGCAGCAUAAACAUCAUUAUAUAGUAUUAUCAAUAUCACAGUUCAAAUUCAGUUAUACCUGAUGUGAUAUUUGUGCACUAUGAGUGCAUGCAUCGUCGUAGUGCAUGCAUUGAUACAUGAGGUAUUUAGUAACGUAUCUGACACUAUUUAAAACAGAUAAACUUACUGCAUAAAAAUGUUCAGAAUUAACAAGAGGGCCAAGAUGGCCGUAGGUCAUUCACCUGUGUAACACACCAUAACA